GAAGGACCCCCAUAGGCGUCCUUGAUGCCAUAGAAACGAUCGCUGAAACUGCAGAAUUUGAAAACACUUGAAGACGUUUGCUUGUUAUGGCAUAUAUGUGGAAAUUCGCAAAUGAAAGGACCCAAAAUGGCCGCCGUGUUUCUAACUGUAAGCUGCUGAAGGUUCCAGCGUUACUAUGGG